rnacentral:lncRNA from 1 species
GGCAAUAUCUUGCAUGUUUUCAAGCUUUUCAUCUUGAAAGCAUGCAACAGGAACAGUUGAUAAUAUCUGAAUAUAGUGGGUAAAAUUAUGCUGUUUUUGUCAGUGGUUUUGCAACCACACCACAAUAGUUUGUCUAUACUGUAAAAAUAAAGGGCUAAUAAAAUGCUUUACAUUGCAUUUAAAGAGAGACUAGCAUUUUUUAUUGUCUCAAGUGCUUCUUUAAAUUGACUUAAAAAUAUACUUAUUUAAUGGUAAUUGCAUUUCAGACAGGAUUACUAGAAAAAAAUACUUUUUAAGUUAAAAGUAUUGAUUUGCAUCAUACACUACUAGCCAAUGUUAGUAUAAGAAUAAACAGAAAACAUCGGAGACGGGAAUGAGAAUUUCUCAUUCUAGAAUCUAUAUUGAGUCUUACAGUUUCUAUUUAUAUGGUGUUUUUGUAUUUGUGGUCUUUUUGUGCUGUGCUGCAUGGUUUUGACCAUGCAGCAGAUGCAUAUCAUACAUUUGUACAUCUAAAAAUAAAAUGUCCUUCAUGUUAAGACAAAGAACACUCUUCCUUUUUUGUGGUUUUGAUCUGUCUCUUGACAAAGUGACAAUUAAAAACAUGCCUUUCAUUUACAGAACUUUAGGGUUUUGUUAAGCACAUUGAGCAGUAGCAUGUUAUUGGUGUCAUACAAAAAAAAUAUUAUUAUUAUUAUUAUUAUAAGUUUUGCGGAAGUGAUUGCUUUACUCUGGUACAGCUAAUAGUCAUGUGAUGCUAUGAACCUUUUCAUCUAAACUAGAGUGGUAAAAGGAGGGGCUUCAUAUUUUAUCUUAGAUUUGGACAUCGACGCAUCUUUAAUAUGAGACUUUUCUAUGUACUUCUGCUUUUGAGCAUUGUUUGCUUUGAGAACAGUGACUCAGAGAAUGGGACAUGUCAGGAAGGUUAUGGAAGCAUUUUCAUUCCUAUCAUCGUAAUUCUCUGUGAAGCAUUACUGCUUUCUUUUGCCGUAAAUGUAUACUUCAUUUGCAUGAGAAGAUAUAGAGACUCGUGCCAGAACUUUUACAAUAAUUAUAUUGCUAUCUGGUGCAGUCGUGGAACAGCAAAUGAGCCUGAGCAAUCAGAUGACCAGGUACAGUUUUAGCACAUGCAAACAUUUUUAUUAUUUACAAUUUCUGUUUUCAAAGAUCUUUCGUGUGAGUAUAAGAUCUUUCAAAUAUCAUAAGUAUUUCAUAUAAAACAAUUUCAAAUUCUGAACAUACAUAAUGUAUUUAUUAUAUCCAUUAUAAGAUAUACUGAGUGAUAUACUGUUUACUUUUAGCUUCCAGACGACACACAGUACUCUCUGAUUGUUUCCAAAGACAGAGAGCAUGAGGAACAAACAGAAGUGAACCCCCCUGAGUGUGUAUACUCUGCUGUGAAACCCUAGAAAAGAUUCGACCUCAUCAAAAACGUAUGCUUAAAUUGGUGAUAUAUUCUGCUUUUUUCCCCUCUCUUUCUCUGUUAUUGUUUUUGCAUUUUUGUUUUCAUUGUCAUUUAAUCUGUCUGUAAUUUAUAUUUAAGCAGAUGCUGUGGAAAAAAAUAAAUAAAAUCAAGAUGCUUGUGGACUACUGUCCCAGCACAAGAGUCAAAGAGCUGAAGUCUAGUGGAUUGUUUAUUGUAUAACCACCGCACAGUUUACCAAUUUUGAAUGGACAAUGAUAGUAGUUUUUGGUUGUUAAUUAGUUGCAUUAGUAGUGCAGUAGUUUGCUCUUGGCAUCUGAGUUCACUGUUGCUUAUCGGUUGGUAUCUGUAUCUUCUGGCUAAAUGCAAUUGAGCAAUUAACAUAUUUUUGUGCUAUAUGUGCGGUUACAUGAGAAGCAUGUGCUUCAAAGAAAUUGGUUGCUGUCAGCAGUUCAAAACAUAGCAGAUGCAUUUUACUAUUGAUUUAGCCUUUGUGUAAAGUAGGCUUUAAUGUGAUGUAGGUUUUUGUUUUUGAUCAGUUUUUUUGUUUGUUGCUUUUUUUUUUUAAUCAUACGUCUGAAAUUUUGAUUUCAUCCAGGCCAGCGCAGAAUUUAAUGUACUGAUGUUGUAAAUUUACAAUUUAACAAGUCUAUUUAAAAUGAAAGGUUAUGUGUUGUGACUGAAAUGCUCAUGUUUUGGUGACAAUAAAUGGUUAACAGCACAAGGUUUGUCGUUGCCUGCAAUCUCAAAGCUCACCUUAUGAGGGCAGCAGAAAUCAUAAAAUUUAAAAUGGUUGAAAAAACGAUUUGACUAUACUUGAAUAUAAUGAGCUGAUUGCUAUACUAAAUUGUACGCUAGUCUUACAAUAUGAUUGUGAUUUUUAAAAGUAUUACACUAGAGAUUGGAUGGCCAAAGUCAUAAAGAGAUGGUGAUAGCUGCUAAAAUGCGUUCAACACUUUCUGUGCUUUAUCAAGUUUCCUGAGCAUUGUCAGAUGAAUUGUGAAAUUAUUUAGCCAGUGAACACAGAAAGAUCUGCCACAUCAGAUGAACAUCACAGUCUCCUGAAGCUCUCAGACGGCGGCUUCUCUCAUGACUGUGUUCUUUGAAUCUGCUGGAUGACUCAGGAUUUGCAUGCUUGACCCCAGACCUGACAGACAGUGUUAUCAUAUGCAUUACCAGCAGGCCGGAAUAAAACCAGUCAAGACAAAAGGUCACCCUAGUCUUACAGUUUUACUUCUGCUUUUUUCAUUUAUGAACGGCCUGCGAUAUGUUCACACAUAACAGUAACAGAAAAAAAAAAAGAACAAUAUAUAUUUUUAUUAGUGGUGGAAAGAGUACUAAGAAAUUGUACUUAAGUAAAAGUAUUGCUACUUAAGAAAUAAUUUACUUGAGUACAAGUACUGAAAAAUAAUAUGACUCAAGUAAGAGUAAAAAAGUAGUUUGCUGAAAAACUACUCAAGUUACUGUGUUACAAAGUACUUUAGUAUUAUUUUUCUAUUUUUACCCAAAAUGAGAUGAUGUGAGCAUUAUGGAGCAGGAUUAACCCUAACCUUAACACUCAUGUACUUUAAUGUCUGAACUGGAAGGUUUGAUUGGUUUCUUGGCUGAAGCGCAGGGCUCCACCCUAGGAUUUUGAAAAGUGCCAGUCAAAUGCCAGCUCACUAUGUUUAUCCAUCGGCGCCUUCUUUGUCUAAUUAUUUAUUUAUUAUAAUUUUUUUUUUUUUUUUUUUUUUUUUUUUACUUUGGUAUUUUUGGUGAAAAAGAAAUGUAGCAAAGUUGAAUACUCUAUUUUACUCUACUCAAGUAAAGGUAAAAGUACCACAAUUUAAUAUACUCAAGAAAGUAGAAAAAAUGUACUUAAGUACUGUAACGAAAGGAUUUGUAAUAGUUACUUUCCACCUCUGCUUUUUAUCUAGACCUACAACACAUGCAACAUUUUUUAAUACAAAGAAAAUGUUUUAAAGGGGUCAUAUGACAUUGCUAAAAAGAACAUUAUUUUGUGUAUUUGGUGUAACGCAAUGUGUUUACAUGGUUUAAGGUUCAAAAAACACAUUAUUUUCCACAUAAUGUACAUUAUUGUUGCUCCUCUAUGCCCCGCCUCUCUGAAACGCAUUGAUUUUUACAAAGCUCAUCGUUCUGAAAAGCAAGUGUUUACGCUGAUUGGCCAGCUAUCCUGUGCAUUGUGAUUGGCUGAAUAUCUCAAGCAGCAGCGAGAAUAAAAGUUACACCUUCUUUCUUUGCGUGAAGAUUUGGCCGGUGUUAUGCAAAUCUUCACACAUCGUGACAUAGACAUGUGGGGGCAUGUUAGAAUAAGCCGUUUUAGGAGAGCGUGGUUGACUCUUAAAUUCAUAAAGAAUAUCUCUUUUGAUUUGAGACUUUAGUCUUUGCAACUUUACAGAUCUUCUUUAUGCACCAAGAGCUUGUAACACUCCAAAGAGAAAGGGAAAAUUGAAAUUGCAUCAU